rnacentral:hammerhead_ribozyme from 1 species
AUGCUGCUGAGGAGUCCAAAACUAGGACGAAACAGCUGUCCAGUAC